GACAGAGGUGCCGAGCGUUAGGCGGAAUCACUGGGCUUAAAGCGUGUGUAGGCGGGCCGUUAAGUGUCUUGUGAAAUCCCACGGCUCAACCGUGGAACUGCUGGGUAUACUGGUUGUCUUGAGCCAGCUAGGGGCGAGCGGAACAGACGGUGGAGCGGUGAAAUGCGUAGAUAUCGUCUGGAACGCCGAAGGUGAAAACAGCUCGCUGGGGCUGCGCUGACGCUGAGACACGAAAGCCAGGGGAGCGAACGGG
rnacentral:rRNA from 1 species